AUGUAGGUUUGAGUUCCAAGCUUCCCAGUCCUGAUCAACAUAGUUUUGAGCCCAUAACAAGGAUUCCCUUGCUGCUAAAGGCGCUCCAGGUAAUUUCCUCUCCUUGAGGGCAACCAGCAUAUCAGUGAAUGGCUCCACCAAUAAUGUUCCAGGUCCUCCAUACUCCUUGUGCAAGAAGUCGCUAAAUAUCUCCGAGCAAACGUCAACUACUUUAUCAAGUUCAUCACGGAAUGUUUCCUUGUCCUUUGACAGUUUCUUGUAGAGCUCAGCCCUAAACUUCAGGGUCUCAGAUUUUGCGAAUUCGGGAAUGGGGUCCGGGUAAAUGUACUUCUGGUGAGGGGCAUUGGCUGCAAGACGGUUUCUAGAGAUGGAUUUUGCAGAGAGGAUUGGGAUGGAGAGAGCAGGAGGAUGGAGGAUUAGGGAAGCAUUGGCAUUGCGAAGGACAGGAGUGAUUGAGGUUGAAAUUUUGGCGGGACGGAGCAGAGGCAAAGGGAGAGCGUAUAGACGGGCCAUGUGC
rnacentral:misc_RNA from 1 species